rnacentral:rRNA from 1 species
ACUGAAUAGAUACCCGGGUAGUCCACGCCCUAAACGAUGUAUGCUUGGUGUUGGGAAGCAAUUCUCAGUGCCGAAAGGAAAACCCAUUAAGCAUACCACCUGGGGAGUACGAUCGCAAGGUUGAAACUCAAAGGAAUUGACGGGGGCCCGCACAAGCGGUGGAUCAUGUGGUUUAAAUUCGAUGCAACGCGAAGAACCUUACCUGGGCUCGAAAUGUAGGUAGUAGGACCCUGAAAGGGGAACGAUGGGUUAAGUCCCAAGCCUAUAUAGGUGCUGCAUGGCUGUCGUCAGCUCGUGCCGUGAGGUGUUGGGUUAAGUCCCGCAACGAGCGCAGCCCCUACUUUCAGUUGCCAGCGGAGU